GCUCGCAUGGCUUAGUUGGUAAAGCGCGUCACUAGUAUUGCACCUACCGCUCGGCGUAGGUGGCUGGAUUAUUUAUGACGAGACCCUGUGUUCGAAAUCACAGUUGUGAGCA